UACGUAGGGUCCAAGCGUUAAUCGGAAUUACUGGGCGUAAAGCGUGCGCAGGCGGUUGUGUAAGUCAGAUGUGAAAUCCCCGGGCUUAACCUGGGAAUGGCAUUUGGGACUGCACGGCUAGAGUACGGCAGAGGAGACUAGAAUUCCUGGUGUAGCAGUGAAAUGCGUAGAUAUCAGGAGGAAUACCGAUGGCGAAGGCAGGUCUCUGGGUCGAUACUGACGCUCAUGCACGAAAGCGUGGGGAGCAAACAGG
rnacentral:rRNA from 1 species